UACGGAGGAUGCAAGCGUUAUCCGGAUUUAUUGGGUUUAAAGGGUGCGCAGGUUGUUUGAUAAGUCAGUGGUGAAAGUCCGUCGCUUAACGGUAGGAUUGCCAUUGAUACUGUUAGACUUGAAUAUGGAUGAGGUAGGCGGAAUGUGUAGUGUAGCGGUGAAAUGCAUAGAUAUUACACAGAACACCGAUUGCGAAGGCAGCUUACUAAUCCCUCAUCGACGCUGAGGCACGAAAGCGUGGGGAUCAAACAGGA
rnacentral:rRNA from 1 species